rnacentral:rRNA from 1 species
AGUGAACGCUGGCGGUAGGCCUAACACAUGCAAGUCGAACGGCAGCACAGUAAGAGCUUGCUCUUACGGGUGGCGAGUGGCGGACGGGUGAGGAAUACAUCGGAAUCUACUUUUUCGUGGGGGAUAACGUAGGGAAACUUACGCUAAUACCGCAUACGACCUACGGGUGAAAGCAGGGGAUCUUCGGACCUUGCGCGAUUGAAUGAGCCGAUGUCGGAUUAGCUAGUUGGCGGGGUAAAGGCCCACCAAGGCGACGAUCCGUAGCUGGUCUGAGAGGAUGAUCAGCGACACUGGAGCUGAGACACGGUCCAGGCUCCUACGGGAGGCAGCAGUGGGGAAUAUUGGACAAUGGGCGGAAGCCUGAUCCAGCCAUACCGCGUGUGUGAAGAAGGCCUUCGGGUUGUAAAGCCCUUUUGUUGGGAAAGAAAAGCAGCAGGUUAAUACCCCGCUGUUCUGACGGUACCCAAAGAAUAAGCACCGGCUAACUUCGUG